GCCUUCGUGGUGUAACGGUAGCAGACUCGGCGCAUAUUCCAGAGGUCCAGGUUCGAGUCCCGGCGAGGGCA
rnacentral:tRNA from 1 species